rnacentral:antisense_RNA from 1 species
GAGCUCUGUGGGCCCCAGGUGCCCCAGGAAAACUUGGGGGAGAAUGGGCAUCCCACCCCAGCACUUUCUAGGAAGGAGGGCAGCAUUUUGAAGGGCUGGAAGUAGAGGAAGGAGGUUGCGGGUAGAAGACUCCAUACUUUCUGUGAUGCCUAUUCCUUAGGUAGGAACUUAGGAACCUCAGGAAUCAAGGCUAUCUGUAAUCACAGGGCUAUUUGAAAAAGAGAAGAAAAGGUGUCUUGAAAUUCAACCAACAUGUUUCAAUUAUUUGCUCCUAAGAACAACAGAAGUUUCAACAUUCUGCCAACAAAGUAACUCCUGGAAGAUUGGCACAGAAGAAGGCACAAGGAGAGCCUUUAUAUAACCAAAGAUAUUUUUGGACCAUGAAUUCGGAAAUUCUCGGAGCCACCCAUCAGUGCCUGAGCUUCAGUGAGUCCAUAUCCCAUGUCACCCACGGCAAAGGAGAAUCUAAGACUUCUGAAGAGUUUCUUGCUUCUUUCCUGUGGGGCAGUGACUCCACUUCCCAGCAGUAAUGGAAUAUCCUGAAUUAGCUACAUUAAUGUUAGAACCAUUUGGACCUCACCCAGGACUUCAACUACAUUAUGCUAAAGUUACAGAACCCAAAUUUGGCAACUGUCUGCAUCUGAACAACAGAAGUUUCAACAUUCUGCCAACAGAGUAACUCCUGGACGAUUGGCACAGAAGGCACAAGGCAAAUACCUAUCUCUGUACACCCUGUGCUACUGUGUCAUGUGCUGCUCC